UACGUAGGGAGCAAGCGUUGUCCGGAAUCAUUGGGCGUAAAGCGCGCGUAGGUGGCCUCAUAAGUCCGCUGUGAAAGUCAAAGGCUCAACCUUUGAAAGCCGGUGGAUACUGUGGGGGCUAGAGUACGGAAGAGGCGAGUGGAAUUCCUGGUGUAGCGGUGGGAAUGCGCAGAUAUCAGGAGGAACACCAAUAGCGAAGGCAGCUCGCUGGGACGUUACUGACACUGAGGCGCGAAAGCGUGGGGAGCGAACAGG
rnacentral:rRNA from 1 species